rnacentral:rRNA from 1 species
GAUGAACGCUAGCUGGAGGCUUAAUACAUGCAAGUCGAGCGGGAUUGGGUAGCAAUACCCAUGAGAGCGGCGCACGGGUGAGUAACGCGUACACGACCUACCUCUGACAGGGGGAUAGCCCUGGGAAACUGGGAUUAAUACCGCAUAUUAUUCUGAAUAAUAAAGGUUUGGAAUGAAAGCUGAGGCGGUCAGAGAUGGGUGUGCGUCUGAUUAGCUAGUUGGUAGGGUAACGGCCUACCAAGGCGAUGAUCAGUAGGGGGCGUGAGAGCGUGGUCCCCCACACGGGUACUGAGACACGGACCCGACUCCUACGGGAGGCAGCAGUAAGGAAUAUUGGUCAAUGGGCGAAAGCCUGAACCAGCCAUCCAGCGUGCAGGAAGAAGGCCCUAUGGGUUGUAAACUGCUUUUUAAUCAGGGAAGAAACCUCUGAAUUUACUCCGGAGCUGACGGUACCUGAAGAAUAAGCACCGGCUAACUCCGUGCCAGCAGCCGC